rnacentral:rRNA from 1 species
UACGGGGGGGGCAAGCGUUGUUCGGAAUUACUGGGCGUAAAGGGCUCGUAGGUGGCCAACUAAGUCAGACGUGAAAUCCCUCGGCUUAACCGGGGAACUGCAUCUGAUACUGGAUGGCUUGAGAUUGGGAGAGGGAUGCGGAAUUCCAGGUGUAGCGGUGAAAUGCGUAGAUAUCUGGAGGAACACCGGUGGCGAAGGCGGUAUCCAGGACCAACACUGACGCUGAGGAGCGAAAGCCAGGGGAGCAAACGGG